rnacentral:rRNA from 1 species
GAUGGACUCGCGUCUGAUUAGUUAGUUGGUGAGGUAAUGGCUCACCAAGGCGACGAUCAGUAGCCGACCUGAGAGGGUGACCGGCCACAUUGGGACUGAGACACGGCCCAAACUCCUACGGGAGGCAGCAGUGGGGAAUAUUGCACAAUGGGGGAAACCCUGAUGCAGCGACGCCGCGUGAAGGAUGAAGUAUUUCGGUAUGUAAACUUCUAUCAGCAGGGAAGAAAAUGACGGUACCUGACUAAGAAGCCCCGGCUAAUUACGUGCCAGCAGCCGCGGUAAUACGUAAGGGGCAAGCGUUAUCCGGAUUUACUGGGUGUAAAGGGAGCGUAGACGGCUGUGUAAGUCAGAUGUGAAAACUUGGGGCUCAACCCCAAGAGUGCAUUUGAAACUAUGCAGCUAGAGUGUCGGAGAGGUAAGUGGAAUUCCUAGUGUAGCGGUGAAAUGCGUAGAUAUUAGGAGGAACACCAGUGGCGAAGGCGACUUACUGGACGAUGACUGACGUUGAGGCUCGAAAGCGUGGGGAGCAAACAGGAUUAGAUACCCUGGUAGUCCACGCC